rnacentral:lncRNA from 1 species
GGGUCAGUAUUUUCUGCAUCCCAUGAACGGAAGUGAGAACAGCCUUGGGAGCUAAUGCCGAAGGUGGGAGAAUCUGAUGCCCUCAGUCUCCAGUGAACUAAAGCUGAAGAAGACUCAGAUUUCUGACACAAUGGUAACACCUAUCCCUUCUGCCUGUGACUGCCAGGGCUUGCUGUAUGAUGAUAAGAAGAGAAUGUGACACAGAGGAAGGGGAAAAAGUCCAUCCCUCUGGUAGUAGGGGGUUGUGGAAUGGGAGGGAAAAAGGGAGAAGGAGAAGUAGAAAAUACUCAUAUCUAAAUGUCUUCAUGUCUUCUGCUUGACUUUAGCCAGGAAUGAGUGUUAGGAAAGAGGGGAUGCUCUAGAAGAGGAAGCUAU